AUACAGAGGGUGCGAGCGUUAAUCGGAAUUACUGGGCGUAAAGCGCGCGUAGGCGGCUUGGUCAGUCGGAUGUGAAAGCCCCGGGCUCAACCUGGGAAUGGCAUUCGAUACUGCCAGGCUAGAGUAUGGGAGAGGGAAGUGGAAUUUCCGGUGUAGCGGUGAAAUGCGUAGAUAUCAGAAGGAACACCAGUGGCGAAGGCGACUUCCUGGCCCAAUACUGACGCUGAGGUGCGAAAGCGUGGGGAGCGAACAGGAUUAGAAACCCUAGUAGUCC
rnacentral:rRNA from 1 species